AGUGGGGAAUCUUAGACAAUGGGGGCAACCCUGAUCUAGCCAUGCCGCGUGAGUGAUGAAGGCCUUAGGGUUGUAAAGCUCUUUCAGCUGGGAAGAUAAUGACGGUACCAGCAGAAGAAGCCCCGGCUAACUCCGUGCCAGCAGCCGCGGUAAUACGGAGGGGGCUAGCGUUGUUCGGAAUUACUGGGCGUAAAGCGCACGUAGGCGGAUCGGAAAGUUGGGGGUGAAAUCCCGGGGCUCAACCUCGGAACUGCCUUCAAAACUACUGGUCUUGAGUUCGAGAGAGGUGAGUGGAAUUCCGAGUGUAGAGGUGAAAUUCGUAGAUAUUCGGAGGAACACCAGUGGCGAAGGCGGCUCACUGGCUCGAUACUGACGCUGAGGUGCGAAAGCGUGGGGAGCAAA
rnacentral:rRNA from 1 species